GUGGAGGCUAUAUACAGGGGGUACCGGGGAACAGAGUCAAUGUGGAGGCUAUAUACAGGGGGUACCGGGGAACAGAGUGAAUGUGGAGGCUAUAUACAGGUGGUACCGGGGAACAGAGUCAAUGUGGAGGCUAUAUACAGGUGGUACCGGGGAACAGAGUCAAUGUGGAGGCUAUAUACAGGGGGUACCGGGACAGAGUGAAUGUGGAGGCUAUAUACAGGGGGUACCGGGAACAGAGUGAAUGUGGAGGCUAUAUACAGGGGGUACCGGAACAGAGUCAAUGUGGAGGCUAUAUACAGGGGGUACCGGGACAGAGUCAAUGUGGAGGUUAUAUACAGGUGGUACCAGGGAACAGAGUCAAUAUGGAGGCUAUAUACAGGGGUAACAGGGAACAGAGUCAAUGUGGAGGCUAUAUACAGGGGGUACCAGGGAACAGAGUUAAUGUGGAGGCUAUAUACAGGGGGUACCAGGACAGAGUCAAUGUGGAGGCUAUAUACAGGAGGUAUCGGGACAGAGUCAAUGUGGAGGCUAUAUACAGGGGGUACCAGGGAACAGAGUUAAUGUGCGGGGGCACUGGUUAGUCGUAAUAUGUACAUGUGGGUGG
ensembl:lncRNA